UACGCAAUCUGCCCUUACCCGGAGCAUAGCCCGAAGAAAUUCGGAUUAACUCUCCAUAAGAUAGUAGAAUGGCAUCAUUUAGCUAUUAAAAAUUUAUUGGGUAAGGAUGAGCGUGCGUCCCAUUAGCUAGUUGGUAGGGUAACGGCCUACCAAGGCGACGAUGGGUAGCUGGUGUGAGAGCACGACCAGCCACACGGGCACUGAGACACGGGCCCGACUCCUACGGGAGGCAGCAGUGAGGAAUAUUGGUCAAUGGACGCAAGUCUGAACCAGCCAUGCCGCGUGAAGGAUGAAGGCCUUCUGGGUUGUAAACUUCUUUUAUGUGGGAAGAAACCUCUGAUUUCUAUUAGAGUUGACGGUACCAUAGGAAUAAGCACCGGCUAACUCCGUGCCAGCAGCCGCGGUAAUACGGAGGGUGCAAGCGUUAUCCGGAUUUACUGGGUUUAAAGGGUGUGUAGGCGGGCUAUUAAGUCAGUGGUGAAAUCUCCGAGCUUAACUUGGAAACUGCCAUUGAUACUAUUAGUCUUGAAUUUUGUUGAGGUAGGCGGAAUAAGUCAUGUAGCGGUGAAAUGCAUAGAUAUG
rnacentral:rRNA from 1 species